CAUCAGUAGUAUAGCGGUAGAAUACUCGUCUUCCAAGCGAGUGGCCCGGGUUCAACUCCUGGCUGAUGCC